AUUGAACGCUGGCGGCGGGCCUAACACAUGCAAGUCGAGCGGAUGAAGGGAGCUUGCUCCUGGAUUCAGCGGCGGACGGGUGAGUAAUGCCUAGGAAUCUGCCUGGUAGUGGGGGAUAACGUCCGGAAACGGGCGCUAAUACCGCAUACGUCCUGAGGGAGAAAGUGGGGGAUCUUCGGACCUCACGCUAUCAGAUGAGCCUAGGUCGGAUUAGCUAGUUGGUGGGGUAAAGGCCUACCAAGGCGACGAUCCGUAACUGGUCUGAGAGGAUGAUCAGUCACACUGGAACUGAGACACGGUCCAGACUCCUACGGGAAGCAGCAGUGGGGAAUAUUGGACAAUGGGCGAGAGCCUGAUCCAGCCAUGCCGCGUGUGUGAAGAAGGUCUUCGGAUUGUAAAGCACUUUAAGUUGGGAGGAAGGGCAGUAAGUUAAUACCUUGCUGUUUUGACGUUACCAACAGAAUAAGCACCGGCUAACUUCGUG
rnacentral:rRNA from 1 species